rnacentral:lncRNA from 10 species
CAAGUGCAGCCGAUCAGACGUGCCUAGGAAAGCGAUGAUGCCCAUCGAUUGGUGUGAACUUUCUAGAAACGUCUAGGAAACAGGAUGUUUGCGCUUGGGAUUUACCCACCAUAUUGUGAGGAAGCCUAUACUACAUGGAGAGGCCAUGUGAUGUUCCAGCCAACAGUACCGUGUCAGAUGCCAGCUGCCAGCCAGCAUCAACUCCAGACAGGCUUUAACUCUGUGCUGAAAAAGCAGAUGCCUAGAUCUGUGGGGGAACACACAGGGCAGCCCAAAUCCUCCUGAGGAUUCCAAGCUUGAGUCCUGUCAUUUCCAAGAUGGAACCAUGUAGUUGCAGGAAAACAAGUGCAAGGCUUCUACUGAUUCUACAUUAUGGUGAGUUGUAUAAUUAUUUCAUUAUAUAUUACAAUGUAAUAAUAAUAGAAAUAAAGUGCAUAAAAAAUGUAGUGCACUUAAAUCAUCCCAAAACCAUCCCCACUGCCCUGGUCCGUGGAAAAAUUGUCUUCCAUGAAACUGGCCCCUGGUGGCAAAAGGGUUGGGGACCACUGAUGUAAACUUGUCAAAUGAGAUUGAAGGAAGGAGUAUUUCACUGAACAAAGUUGGGAUGUUGUUUCCAUGAAAGAGUGAAGGAUUCUGGCUAGUCUAUCACAAUAGGUAGUAGGUAAUCAUUUAUUGAUAGAUUAAUCUGGAUCGUUUAAAUUUGGGCUAUCAUUUGGAUUUAUCAAACCCUCAGCAGAAUCUGUUGAGAAGAUAAAGCAUCACAUUCACCUUCAUUCAGUCAAUAUGGACUAAGAAUGCCUGAGAAAGCAGGUCUGUUCAGAAGCUUUAGUAUUAACGCCUUGUUUUCAAGUCUAAACUAA